GUAGGGAAUAUUGGACAAUGGGGGCAACCCUGAUCCAGCGACGCCGCGUGAGUGACGAAGGCCUUCGGGUCGUAAAGCUCUGUUGCAAGGGAAAAACAAAAUGAUGGUACCUUGCUAGAAAGGAUCGGCUAACUUCGUGCCAGCAGCCGCGGUAAGACGAGGGAUCCUAGCGUUGUUCGGAAUUAUUGGGCGUAAAGCGGGUGUAGGUGGCUUUGUAAGUCAGGUGUGAAAGCCUGGGGCUUAACCCCAGAAGUGCAUUUGAUACUGCGAAGCUUGAGUGCUGGAGAGGCUACUAGAAUUCUUGGUGUAGUGGUGAAAUACGUAGAUAUCAAGAGGAAUACCGGAGGCGAAGGCGGGUAGCUGGCCAGACACUGACACUCAGACCCGAAAGCGUGGGGAUCAAACAGGAUUAGAAACCCCGGUAGUCC
rnacentral:rRNA from 1 species